rnacentral:misc_RNA from 1 species
GAUGAAGAACGUAGCGAAAUGCGAUAAGUAGUGUGAAUUGCAGAAUUCAGUGAAUCAUCGAAUCUUUGAACGCACAUUGGGCCCCUUGGUAUUCCAUGGGGCAUGCCUGUUCGAGCGUCAUUUGUACCUUCAAGCUCUGCUUGGUGUUGGGUGUUUGUCUCGCCUCUGCGUGUAGACUCGCCUCAAAACAAUUGGCAGCCGGCGUAUUGAUUUCGGAGCGCAGUACAUCUCGCGCUUUGCACUCAUAACGACGACGUCCAAAAGUACAUUUUUACACUCUUGACCUCGGAUCAGGUAGGGAUACCCGCUGAACUUAAGCAUAUCAAUAAGCGGAGGA